GCAGUAUAUUUUGAUUGUAAAUAUUUAUUUAUAGGUUUUUGGUUUUAGUAAAAUUUUGAGAAAUAUCUUUGUUUGUGGUAGGUUUAAAAGUAAAGUUAAUUGAAAUUAUAGAUUUGGGUUAUAGUGGAUAGUAUUGAAAAGUAAUAUUAAAAAUAUAAAAUAAGUAGUUAGUGUACCUUUUGUAUCAUGGGUAUCUUAGUUUGGUUAGUUAGAGUUUAACAGUCUCGAAAAAAGAAGAUCUAAUUUUUAUUGGUUGUUAUUAUGUAAAUAAUAUUUAUAAGUAUAAAUUAGUUGUGAUAUGUUUGUCGAGUUUUUUGAUAUCUAGUUGUUAAUAAAUGGAAUUUAAUUUCGGUGUUUAUCUUAAUUUGGUAAAUUGCAAAUUGCAGAGGGGGAAGCUUUCUGUAAAGUGAGGGAAUAUAAUUUUGUUUGAAUGGUUUAAUAAGUAGGCUUAAAAACAGUCAUUUUUAGAUUACGUUGUAGUUGAUUGAGGGUUAAUAGUGUUUAAUAUUUAGGUAUGUUUUAUUUGUUUUUAUUUAACAUUAAUAAUUAUUAUUAGAUUUUAGUUAUAAUGGUUAUAUUAGUAGAUUAUUAUUUUUGAUUAGUUAUAUAAAUUAAAGAUUGGUUAAUAGUUAGUUGAGGUUGGAUUAAAAUAAGGAAUUCGGCAAAUAUUAUCUUCGCCUGUUUAUCAAAAACAUGUCCGUAUGAGUUGGGGUAUAAGGUCUGGCCUGCCCAUUGAAUUUUAAGAGGCCGCGGUAAUUUGACCGUGCAAAGGUAGCAUAAUCAUUAGUUUUUUAAUUGGGAACUUGUAUGAAUGGUUUGACGAGAGAUAUACUGUCUUAUUUCAAAAUAUUAAAUUUAACUUUUAAGUGAAAAGGCUUAAAUUAUAUAAAGGGACGAUAAGACCCUAUAAAACUUAAUAUAUGAUAUUUUAGUUUUUAUAUUUAUUAGUUUAUUAGUAAGUAAAAUAUAGUAUAUUGUGCUGGGGCGGCAGAGAUAUAUAUGAACUGUUUUUGUAGAUAGCAGAAAUAUUUGGUUAAAAUGAUCCUUUAAUGUGAAGAAUAAAAGAUUAAGUUACUUUAGGGAUAACAGCGUAAUUUUUUUUGAGAGUUCCUAUCGACAGAAAGGAUUGCGACCUCGAUGUUGAAUUAAAAGUUCUUUAUGGUGUAGCAUUUAUAGAAGAAGGUCUGUUCGACCUUUAAUUUUUUACAUGAUUUGAGUUCAGACCGGCGUGAGCCAGGUUGGUUUCUAUCUUUUAUAGUAGAGUUUUAAGGUUUUAGUACGAAAGGAUUGAACUUUAAAAAUAUUUUUAAAAUAGGAUUAUUUUAAAAUAAAUGGUAGAUCUUCUAUUAUAUAAGAUGAGUUGUGAUGAUUUUGGUAAUA
rnacentral:rRNA from 1 species